rnacentral:ncRNA from 1 species
CCUUUCAAAAGGAAAAUAGGUAUACGAAAUUUUUUGUUUCGUGUUUAAAAGGGAAGUUUGGUGAAAUUCCAACGCGGUCCCGCCACUGUAAGUGCAGAGACUUCUUUUUCUAUACCACUGUGAAAACGGGAAGGUGAAAGAAAUCAUAUGAAGCAUGAGCCAGGAGACCUGCCUAUUUUAACAACACUGA